rnacentral:misc_RNA from 1 species
GUGAAGAACGUAGCGAAAUGCGAUAAGUAGUGUGAAUUGCAGAAUUCAGUGAAUCAUCGAAUCUUUGAACGCACAUUGCGCCCUUUGGUAUUCCUUAGGGCAUGCCUGUUCGAGCGUCAUUUAAACCUUCAAGCUCAGCUUGGUGUUGGGUGACUGUCCGCUUCACCGCGGACUCGCCUCAAAAUUAUUGGCGGCCGGUACAUUGGCUUCGAGCGCAGCAGAAACGCGAACUCGGGCCCGUCGUAUUGGCUCCCAGAAGCUAUCUUCACAAUUUUGACCUCGGAUCAGGUAGGGAUACCCGCUGAACUUAAGCAUAUCAAUAAGCGGAGGA